CGGGCUGCCUCCGGGCGCCCAACCUCCCACCCGUGACUACCUAACACUGUUGCUUCGGCGGGGAGCCCUCUCGGGGGCGAGCCGCCGGGGACUACUGAACUUCAUGCCUGAGAGUGAUGCAGUCUGAGUCUGAAUAUAAAAUCAGUCAAAACUUUCAACAAUGGAUCUCUUGGUUCCGGCAUCGAUGAAGAACGCAGCGAACUGCGAUAAGUAAUGUGAAUUGCAGAAUUCAGUGAAUCAUCGAGUCUUUGAACGCACAUUGCGCCCCCUGGCAUUCCGGGGGGCAUGCCUGUCCGAGCGUCAUUGCUGCCCAUCAAGCCCGGCUUGUGUGUUGGGUCGUCGUCCCCCCCGGGGGACGGGCCCGAAAGGCAGCGGCGGCACCGUGUCCGGUCCUCGAGCGUAUGGGGCUUUGUCACCCGCUCGAUUUAGGGCCGGCCGGGCGCCAGCCGACGUCCAACCAUUUUUCUUCAGGUUGACCUCGGAUCAGGUAGGGAUACCCGCUGAACUUAAGCAUAUCAUAAGCGGAGGAGGAUCAUUACUGAGUGCGGGCUGCCUCCGGGCGCCAACC
rnacentral:rRNA from 1 species